rnacentral:tRNA from 1 species
CCGGGUGUAGCUCAACCAGGUAGAGCACCUGCUUUGGGAGCAGGUGGCUGCACGUUCAACUCGUGCCACCCGGACCA